UGCCUAAUACAUGCAAGUCGAGCGAGCUUGCCUAGAUGAAUUUGGUGCUUGCACCAAAUGAAACUAGAUACAAGCGAGCGGCGGACGGGUGAGUAACACGUGGGUAACCUGCCCAAGAGACUGGGAUAACACCUGGAAACAGAUGCUAAUACCGGAUAACAACACUAGACGCAUGUCUAGAGUUUAAAAGAUGGUUCUGCUAUCACUCUUGGAUGGACCUGCGGUGCAUUAGCUAGUUGGUAAGGUAACGGCUUACCAAGGCAAUGAUGCAUAGCCGAGUUGAGAGACUGAUCGGCCACAUUGGGACUGAGACACGGCCCAAACUCCUACGGGAGGCAGCAGUAGGGAAUCUUCCACAAUGGACGCAAGUCUGAUGGAGCAACGCCGCGUGAGUGAAGAAGGGUUUCGGCUCGUAAAGCUCUGUUGGUAGUGAAGAAAGAUAGAGGUAGUAACUGGCCUUUAUUUGACGGUAAUUACUUAGAAAGUCACGGCUAACUACGUGCCAGCAGCCGCGGUAAUACGUAGGUGGCAAGCGUUGUCCGGAUUUAUUGGGCGUAAAGCGAGUGCAGGCGGUUCAAUAAGUCUGAUGUGAAAGCCUUCGGCUCAACCGGAGAAUUGCAUCAGAAACUGUUGAACUUGAGUGCAGAAGAGGAGAGUGGAACUCCAUGUGUAGCGGUGGAAUGCGUAGAUAUAUGGAAGAACACCAGUGGCGAAGGCGACUCUCUGGUCUGCA
rnacentral:rRNA from 1 species